AGGUAAUAUGCAUUUUUUGGUUUCUGAUUCUUUUUACUUCACAGUUCACCCAGGCAUUUCUCGUCUAAAUUUUCAAAAUAUUGUUUGUUGAAAAUGAUAACCAUGAUUGAUUUUUGGAAGGUGAGGGAGAUUCUUGAGAAUAGCAUUUUAUGUUUUCACAGUUCUUUCUGCACACAUAGUUCUAUGUUUAUCCAAAUGUGGUGUGAAGAAAGCAGAUGACACAAAUUAUAGCUGUCUUUUAUGUUGAUGGUCUUCACUGUUUCAUAUGCAAGUCAAAAGGACAGAAUGUAAAUACUUUGUGGGCACUAUUGUUCAUUGUGAUCUCUUAAGUCAAAACUUUGUAAUUGGAUGGCACAUGCUCUUGCUACCAAUCUGAUUAGCUUUAUCUUAUGAAAGUUUCAAUUUAUAAAUCUGCAAAACAUUAUGCAUAAAUUAGGCAUCAAACAGAGUAAUGGUGCUAG
rnacentral:misc_RNA from 1 species